CCUACGGGGGGCAGCAGUGAGGAAUAUUGGUCAAUGGACGAGAGUCUGAACCAGCCAAGUAGCGUGAAGGAUGACUGCCCUAUGGGUUGUAAACUUCUUUUAUAUGGGAAUAAAAUGUUCCACGUGUGGGAUUUUGUAUGUACCAUAUGAAUAAGGAUCGGCUAACUCCGUGCCAGCAGCCGCGGUAAUACGGAGGAUCCGAGCGUUAUCCGGAUUUAUUGGGUUUAAAGGGAGCGUAGGUGGAUUGUUAAGUCAGUUGUGAAAGUUUGCGGCUCAACCGUAAAAUUGCAGUUGAAACUGGCAGUCUUGAGUACAGGAGAGGUGAGCGGAAUUCGUGGUGUAGCGGUGAAAUGCUUAGAUAUCACGAAGAACUCCGAUUGCGAAGGCAGUUCACUGGACUGCAACUGACACUGAGGCUCGAAAGUGUGGGUAUCAAACAGGAUUAGAUACCCGAGUAGUC
rnacentral:rRNA from 1 species